UACGUAGGGUGCGAGCGUUAAUCGGAAUUACUGGGCGUAAAGCGUGCGCAGGCGGUUCGUUGUGUCCGUCGUGAAAGCCCCGGGCUUAACCUGGGAACUGCGAUGGAAACUACGGAGCUGGAGUGUGGCAGAGGGAGGUAGAAUUCCACGUGUAGCGGUGAAAUGCGUAGAUAUGUGGAGGAAUACCGAUGGCGAAGGCAGCCUCCUGGGCCAACACUGACGCUCAUGCACGAAAGCGUGGGGAGCAAACAGG
rnacentral:rRNA from 1 species